GAAGAAUUGACGGUGACAGUGACGUAGUUUGGGUUUUGUUGACAAAUAGUCAGUGUAAAUAAUAAUCAGUGGCAUCUUAAAUUAGAUCUGAAUGUGAAUAAGAAUCAAGAAGGAUCCCAAAGAGGUCAGUACAGGAAACUAUCUUAGCCAAUAUAUGGUGCUCAUUAACAACCUGGAGGAGAAUGUAAAUUCGACUUAGAUUAAAUUUGCAGAUAAUGCAAAAUGAGUGAGAAAUGGCAAAUGCAGAAGUAAGCUAAAAUUACCAAAGGACCUGGGCAUUUGAGAACCUUGGUCAGAACUAAAUAAGAUGGAAUUUAAUGAGAAAAGGGAAAGUAUUACACGGUUAGAUUUGAAUUUGAUUAUACUUGACGGCAGAGUAAUCAGAUAGCAUACCCAAGGAAGAGGCUGGGGUAGGGGGUGGAGAAGCUAAAGGGACACUUGGUAUUCCUCCAACACACCUUGCAGGUUGGCUUAAUAAUUUAGCACAUUGUGUUUUAAGGAGAUUUUGCAGCAGGGGAAGUCGGAAGUGGCCGUUAGGAACCUGCAGUCCCUGCGAUCCUCGUUCAGAGAGAGAGUUUUGCUAGAGGAAAAGAAAAUUCUGGUGAAGUCCAGAUCCUAGUAUGGCUACAAGGCAAUUCAAUGUUUUGCAAAUUAUCAUUCUGUCACCACCAUCAUCAUCACCUACAGAGUUCCUACAGAUAGCCCAGACUCUGGUAUAAGAAAUUUAGUGAGCUUUUUAAAAAAAUCUAUAACAAAGGCUGGUGGACAUUUAUUUGUGACUUUAAUACAUACAUGUAUAUUGAAGAAUAGAGCGCUCAUAACAGAAUACACACAGGAAGAUGAAGACCAGUGUAAUGGUAAAUGUUUCUUUUUCCCUGAUAACAUAGAAUAAUAUAAAAAGCACUUUAAAAUGCUUAAGUGGCUUUUUGUUGCUUUUUUUUCUUUAAAUGCUCACAACCAGGUAUUAUCAUCCACAUUUUACAAAUGAGGAAAUGGAGACAGAGAAAGCUUGGAUGUUUUGCCUAAGAUCACGCAGCAAAUGGCAGAGAAGGGAUUUCCAACCCACGGUCUUUGGGGAGCAAACAGCAGCAGGGCAAACGGCUAAGCAGCCUGAUUCCUGUAGUACCUGAUCUGAGCAGCUGUCACAUUCUAGCUAAAGUAUGAGCCACUAAUAUGUGCCCAUUCCUACUGUUCAUUUUCAGUAGUGUUUCCAGAGGAACUUAAAUCAGACAUCUGUAGGAGUGGGUUCUAGAAAGCCAACCCUUUACAGGGACAGGCGUCCUUGGAGGAGUUCAAAUGUUCACUGGGGUAAGGGUCUGCCAGGCAUUUCUAGGCAGUAAAUAAAGUCAGAAUUAGAGGCUCCCA
rnacentral:lncRNA from 1 species